rnacentral:rRNA from 1 species
UGCUAGUUGUGCGGGUUCAGACCCGCAGCGGAAAGCUCAGUAACACGUGGCCGAACUACCCUGUGGAUGGGAACAAUCUCGGGAAACUGAGGCUAAUUCCCAAUAAGGCUCGACCCCUGGAAUGGGUCGAGCUGGAAACGCUACGGCGCCACAGGAUGUGGCUGCGGCCGAUUAGGUAGGCGGUGGGGUAACGGCCCACCGUGCCCAUAAUCGGUACGGGUUGUGAGAGCAAGAGCACGGAGACGGUAUCUGAGACAAGAUACCGGGCCCUACGGGGCGCAGCAGGCGCGAAACCUUUACACUGUACGUAAGUGCGAUAAGGGGACUCCGAGUGUGAAGGCAUAGAGCCUUCACUUUUGUACACCGUAAGGUGGUGUACGAAUAAGGGCUGGGCAAGACCGGUGCCAGCCGCCGCGGUAAUACCGGCAGCCCGAGUGAUGGCCGAUAUUAUUGGGCCUAAAGCGUCCGUAGCUGGCCGGACAAGUCCGUUGGGAAAUCUGCUCGCUUAACGAGCAGGCGUCCAGCGGAAACUGUUCGGCUUGGGACCGGAAGACCUGAGGGGUACGUCCGGGGUAGGAGUGAAAUCCUGUAAUCCUGGACGGACCACCGGUGGCGAAAGCGCCUCAGGAGGACGGAUCCGACAGUGAGGGACGAAGGCUAGGGUCUCGAACCGGAUUAGAUACCCGGGUAGUCCUAGCUGUAAACGAUGCCCGCU